rnacentral:rRNA from 1 species
GACGAACGCUGGCGGCGUGCUUAACACAUGCAAGUCGAACGGAAAGGCCCUGCUUUUGGGGGGUGCUCGGGUGGCGACCGGGUGAGUAACACGUGAGUAACCUGCCCUUGACUUUGGGAUAACUUCAGGAAACUGGGGCUAAUACCGGAUAGGAGCUCCUGCUGCAUGGUGGGGGUUGGAAAGUUUCGGCGGUUGGGGAUGGACUCGCGGCUUAUCAGCUUGUUGGUGGGGUAGGGGAUUACCAAGGCUUUGACGGGUAGCCGGCCUGAGAGGGUGACAGGCCACAUUGGGACUGAGAUACGGCACAGACUCCUAUGGGAGGCAGCAGUGGGGAAUAUUGCACAAUGGGCGGAAGCCUGAUGCAGCAACGCCGCGUGCGGGAUAACGGCCUUCGGGUUGUAAACCGCUUUCGCCUGUGACGAAGCGUGAGUGACGGUAAUGGGUAAAGAAGCACCGGCUAACUACGUG